ACGAACGCUGGCGGCGUGCCUAAUACAUGCAAGUCGAACGCUUCUUUCCUCCCGAGUGCUUGCACUCAAUUGGAAAGAGGAGUGGCGGACGGGUGAGUAACACGUGGGUAACCUACCCAUCAGAGGGGGAUAACACUUGGAAACAGGUGCUAAUACCGCAUAACAGUUUAUGCCGCAUGGCAUAAGAGUGAAAGGCGCUUUCGGGUGUCGUUGAUGGAUGGACCCGCGGUGCAUUAGCUAGUUGGUGAGGUAACGGCUCACCAAGGCCACGAUGCAUAGCCGACCUGAGAGGGUGAUCGGCCACACUGGGACUGAGACACGGCCCAGACUCCUACGGGAGGCAGCAGUAGGGAAUCUUCGGCAAUGGACGAAAGUCUGACCGAGCAACGCCGCGUGAGUGAAGAAGGUUUUCGGAUCGUAAAACUCUGUUGUUAGAGAAGAACAAGGACGUUAGUAACUGAACGUCCCCUGACGGUAUCUAACCAGAAAGCCACGGCUAACUACGUGCCAGCAGCCGCGGUAAUACGUAGGUGGCAAGCGUUGUCCGGAUUUAUUGGGCGUAAAGCGAGCGCAGGCGGUUUCUUAAGUCUGAUGUGAAAGCCCCCGGCUCAACCGGGGAGGGUCAUUGGAAACUGGGAGACUUGAGUGCAGAAGAGGAGAGUGGAAUUCCAUGUGUAGCGGUGAAAUGCGUAGAUAUAUGGAGGAACACCAGUGGCGAAGGCGGCUCUCUGGUCUGUAACUGACGCUGAGGCUCGAAAGCGUGGGGAGCAAACAGGAUUAGAUACCCUGGUAGUCCACGCCGUAAACGAUGAGUGCUAAGUGUUGGAGGGUUUCCGCCCUUCAGUGCUGCAGCAAACGCAUUAAGCACUCCGCCUGGGGAGUACGACCGCAAGGUUGAAACUCAAAGGAAUUGACGGGGGCCCGCACAAGCGGUGGGGCAUGUGGUUUAAUUCGAAGCAACGCGAAGAACCUUACCAGGUCUUGACAUCCUUUGACCACUCUAGAGAUAGAGCUUUCCCUUCGGGGACAAAGUGACAGGUGGUGCAUGGUUGUCGUCAGCUCGUGUCGUGAGAUGUUGGGUUAAGUCCCGCAACGAGCGCAACCCUUAUUGUUAGUUGCCAUCAUUUAGUUGGGCACUCUAGCGAGACUGCCGGUGACAAACCGGAGGAAGGUGGAGAUGACGUCAAAUCAUCAUGCCCCUUAUGACCUGGGCUACACACGUGCUACAAUGGGAAGUACAACGAGUCGCUAGACCGCGAGGUCAUGCAAAUCUCUUAAAGCUUCUCUCAGUUCGGAUUGCAGGCUGCAACUCGCCUGCAUGAAGCCGGAAUCGCUAGUAAUCGCGGAUCAGCACGCCGCGGUGAAUACGUUCCCGGGCCUUGUACACACCGCCCGUCACACCACGAGAGUUUGUAACACCCGAAGUCGGUGAGGUAACCUUUUUGGAGCCAGCCGCCUAAGGUGGGAUAGAUGAUUGGGGUGAAGU
rnacentral:rRNA from 1 species